CCAACUAGAACAAGAAAAUAUAGGCUUUCCUUGGCUUACAUAAAUAUGCCAUGGGAUGCAGGUAAGUUCAUCAGAUUGCAAGAACAAAUCAUCAACAACUAAUUGUACAUAACAUCUUCUCCACCCAGAGCUGAUCUGAGUCCUUAGAUUUUCUCAUGGCAAAUCACAAAAACCAAGAUCAAACAAGUAACGACAAAUCACCAGCAUGUUGCCCUGUGACAAGAGACAAGGGCACGGGCAAGAACAGAAGCUUCCUUGAAGGAUGUCUCUUUGCCUUGUGCUGCUGCUGGUUGUGGGAUGCUUGCUUCGAUCUGUAGAAUAAGGGGCAGUCAGAUGUACAAGAUUACAUCUAAAAUGUUCAUCUUGUUCGUUUAAUAGUUAUUUUGUACUUUGACGCGAACUUAAAACACCCCUGAGCCUUCGUUGCACCAUAUAUAUGCAGUUUUUUUUUGGGCUCAAUGAUAAAUGCUUGUCUUAUACAUAGUUAUAGUACUUUCUAUCCUUGUAAUUAUACUUUUUUUUCAUCCUUGCGAUUGAAAGAAAAAGUAUAUACUUGUCUUAUACAUGAGUGAUAAUUAAUAAAAUCAUACGAUGUUUUGCGAGUAAUUUAUCAAA